AACGAACGCUGGCGGCAGGCCUAACACAUGCAAGUCGAGCGAGAUCUUCGGGUCUAUCGGCGGACGUGUGAGUACCGCGUGGGAAUAUGCCUCUUGGUACGGUAUAGCCUCGGGAAACUGGGAGUAAUACCGUAUGUGCCCUUUCGGGGAAAGAUUUAUCGCCACGAGAUUAGCCCGCGUUGGAUUAGGUAGUUGGUGGUGUAAUGGCCUACCAAGCCGACGAUCCAUAGCUGGUUUGAGAGGAUGAUUAGCCACACUGGGACUGAGACACGGCCCAGACUCCUACGGGAGGCAGCAGUGGGGAAUCUUAGACAAGGGGGGCAAACCUGAUCUAGCCAUGCCGCGUGAGUGAUGAAGGCCGUAGGGUUGUAAAGCUAUUUCAGAUGGGAAGAUAAUGACGGUACCAGCAGAAGAAGCCCCGGCUAACUCCGUG
rnacentral:rRNA from 1 species